rnacentral:rRNA from 1 species
GAGCGUUAAUCGGAAUUACUGGGCGUAAAGCGUGCGCAGGCGGUUUUGUAAGACAGGCGUGAAAUCCCCGGGCUCAACCUGGGAACUGCGCUUGUGACUGCAAGGCUAGAGUACGGCAGAGGGGGUGGAAUUCCACGUGUAGCAGUGAAAUGCGUAGAGAUGUGGAGGAACACCAAUGGCGAAGGCAGCCCCCUGGGUCGAUACUGACGCUCAUGCACGAAAGCGUGGGUAGCAAAACAGGAUUAGAUACCCUGGUAGUCCACGCCCUAAACGAUGUCAACUAGGUGUUGGGUGGGUAAAACCAUUUAGUACCGUAGCUAACGCGUGAAGUUGACCGCCUGGGGAGUACGGCCGCAAGGUUAAAACUCAAAAGGAAUUGACGGGGACCCGCACAAGCGGUGGAUGAUGUGGAUUAAUUCGAUGCAACGCGAAAAACCUUACCUACCCUUGACAUGUCAGAAACUUGGCAGAGAUGCCUUGGUGCCCGAAAGGGAAUCUGAACACAGGUGCUGCAUGGCUGUCGUCAGCUCGUG